rnacentral:rRNA from 1 species
GACGAGUGCCUCAAGCGUUAUCCGGAAUCAUUGGGCGUAAAGGAUGUGUAGGUGGCCAUGUUAGUCUCUCGUUAAAUUUUGCGGCCUAACCGUAAAUCUGCGAGGGAAACGGCAUGACUCGAGGGUGCAAGGGGUCUCUGGAACUCUAGGUGUAGCGGUGAAAUGCGUUGAUAUCGGGAGGAACACCGGUGGCGAAGGCGGCCCCCUGGUUGGAUACUGACGCUGAGACGCGAAAGCGUGGGGAGCAAACAGG